GAUGAACGCUGGCGGCGUGCUUAACACAUGCAAGUCGAACGAAGCAUUUAAGACAGAUUACUUCGGUUUGAAGUCUUUUAUGACUGAGUGGCGGACGGGUGAGUAACGCGUGGGUAACCUGCCUCAUACAGGGGGAUAGCAGCUGGAAACGGCUGGUAAUACCGCAUAAGCGCACAGUACCACAUGGUACAGUGUGCAAAACUCCGGUGGUAUGAGAUGGACCCGCGUCUGAUUAGCUUGUUGGCGGGGUAACGGCCCACCAAGGCGACGAUCAGUAGCCGAACUGAGAGGGUGACCGGCAACAUUGGGACUGAGACACGGCCCAGACUCCUACGGGAGGCAGCAGUGGGGAAUAUUGCACAAUGGAGGAAACUCUGAUGCAGCGACGCCGCGUGAGUGAAGAAGUAGUUAGCUAUGUAAAGCUCUAUCAGCAGGGAAGAUAGUGACGGUACCUGACUAAGAAGCUCCGGCUAAAUACGUG
rnacentral:rRNA from 1 species